UUCCGUUUCGUCUAACCGGCAGGACAACAGUCUCUGACACUGUAGAUGUAAGUUCGACUCUUACAGCGGAAA
rnacentral:tRNA from 1 species